GAUGAAGAACGUAGCGAAAUGCGAUAAGUAAUGUGAAUUGCAGAAUUCAGUGAAUCAUCGAAUCUUUGAACGCACAUUGCGCCCGCCAGUAUUCUGGCGGGCAUGCCUGUUCGAGCGUCAUUUCAACCAUCAAGCCCCCGGCUUGUGUUGGGGACCUGCGGCUGCCGCAGGCCCUGAAAACCAGUGGCGGGCUCGCUAGUCACUCCGAGCGUAGUAAUACAUCUCGCUCAGGGCGUGCUGCGGGUCCCGGCCGUUAAAAAGCCUUAUUUACCCAAGGUUGACCUCGGAUCAGGUAGGAAGACCCGCUGAACUUAAGCAUACCAAUAAGCGGAGGA
rnacentral:misc_RNA from 1 species